CUUUAUUAAAUACUGCACGUUGACUAUUUAGUAUCAUGUUUAAUUUUUCUGAACUAUAUGUAAAUUUUUUAACUAAGGGUUUGUAUUUGUUAAGUUCUUUAGUUAAUGUUUGAUUUUCUGCUUUUAAAUCAUUUAGUUCUUUUGUUAGAUCCUUGUUUAAGACUUGUUUAUGGUUUGAGAGUUCCUUAGUUAGUUUUUCAUUAUCUUUAGUUAAGGUAUUAGUUUUCUUAAUUAAGAGUUGGUUGCUUGUCUUAAGUUCUAGAUUUUCUUUGGCAAGAUUAUCUUUAUCCUUAAUUAAUGUGUCAUGCUUAUGAAUAUAAGUUUGGUUAGUUACUUUUAGUUCUCUGUUUUUAGCAUUUAUAUUCUUAUACUCAAUCAUUAAUUCAUUGAACGCAUCAUAAAGUUCGUCAAAUGUAAAAUCAAAAUGCGUAUCGAAAGUUACCUCGUUUUCGUUGGCCAUGAAGCAGAAAUUGGCCUUCUCUUCUUGUUCUUCAUCCGAUGAUGAAGAUGAUGCGUCGGAGUCCGAUAGGGUAGUGACAAGUGCCUUCUUUUUCUUGUACUUACUCCCCUUCUUCAAUAAGGGGCACUCCGCUCUUAUGUGACCCGGCCUCUUGCACUCGUAACACCCAAUCCCCUCACUUUCCCUUUCCUUACCUUUGUCCUUGCGGUAGGAAUUUGAGGGGCCUCUCCUUUGAUGGUAGGACUUCUUGUGGUUGAUGAAUUUCUUGAACUUGCGCACACGAAGAGCCUCACCACCAUCUUCCUCAUCUUCUUCUUCGUCACUGCUGCUACUGCAAGACAAGUCCUUGUUAGAUGAAAUUGACUUAAGUGCUAUUACCUUUUUCUUGUAGGAGGACUCCUCUUCGCUGUGUUGCUUCAUGGUUAGCUCGUGCGUCAUGAGGGAUCCAAGAAGCUCCUCAAGUGGUAGCUUGUUCAAGUCCUUGGCUUCUUGGAUUGCCGUCACUUUAGCCUCCCACGACCUUGGUNNNNNNNNNNNNNNNNNNNNNNNNNNNNNNNNNNNNNNNNNNNNNNNNNNNNNNNNNNNNNNNNNNNNNNNNNNNNNNNNNNNNNNNNNNNNNNNNNNNNNNNUGCCGGAGUUAGUCCUUUAUAAAAGAAGUGGACCAGAUCAGCCUUAUCAAGCCCAUGGUGUGGGCAUUUGACCAACAAGUCAUGGAAUCGUUCCCAAGUUUGAAAGAAUUCUUCUUCAGAUUUUUCUCUAAAAGUUCUGAUGGCAUCCUUAAUUUUUUCAGUUUUUACCAUGGGAUAGAACUUAGCCUUAAACUUCCUAGACAACUGUUCCCAUGAUGUGAUGGAAUUUGAAGCAAGGGAAUACAGCUAUGCAGCAGCACGAUCUUCUAAAGUCAUGGGAAACAAUCUUAAUUUAAUACCCUCUUCAUCUAAGUUUUGAUUUCUAAAUGUUUGACAGAUUGUCAAAAACUUGUUUAGAUGAAUAUAGGGUUGUUCACUCUCGAACCCAUGAAACUUGGGUAACAUGUUUAUUGUUGCAGCCCGAAUUUCAAAUUGGGCCGCAUUAUUUAUUGGCAAUGCUAUACAUGUAGGUGGACUAGCGGAUGCAGGGGCGAAUAAUUCAUUCAGGGUUCUAAUGUGAUCACCCAUUGUAGAGAUUGGUGGUUGAUCAAUAAUUCGUCGGGUGUGAUGAUGCUUUUUUCCAACCUCUGGGUUAAAUGGUGUUAACUUACCCCUUAAUGAUCUUCUACCAUGCAUACAUUAUCCACAACUUAAUUAGACUCGACUCUUAAAUGAAAUCCUAGAAGAAGAGAAGAAGGGCUAGACCAAGAUGACUACAAUCAACACCACACAACAAUUUGACCUUAUUAGUCUUAGAACUAAGUGAGGUUUAGUAGCUUCUUAAAUCUAGUUGCAUAGAGACUUAUCAGGUUAAAAAGUUCCUGAAAUUCUCUCUAGAUUAAGCUUGAGCUUACCAGUUAAGCAAUCCAGUAACCAGUGACCAGGAAAGUCCCGGGGUGUGUGGUGGUGCCAGAAGGGAUACACCGAUACCACAAUACCCGUAACAGUUCUCACUGUUGUAAAACUUUCCUAGACAUCACCAAUUACUAAAUUUUCACUGGAGUGGCUUUCAGCCGCUUCUUUCCAAGAGCCUAAUUGAGCUCGAAAACCCUAAGGCCGACGUCUAAUUUGAUUUUAAUUUAAUUUGGCUUAAGAUAUGUACGCAAGGUAGUGAUUUUUGGGCUAAGGACAGGUAAUGACUUCCUGACCUUAUCUUUUUAAUGGGUUUUGCCCUUAAAUUUUUUAUGCAAAUGCUUAAUACUAAAUGCAGUAAAUAAUCAAUGAUUUAUUUUUAAAGUUUAUGCAAUGUCAUUAGGUUGUACUGAUUAAAUGAGCAAGCAANNNNNNNNNNNNNNNNNNNNUAUUACAUAAAAGAAAAUUGAUGGAUUUCAUAAAAAGAAAACUGAUUACAAAUAAAAGUGGAGAUUAGAAGGCCUAAUACUCUCCUAUUGUGCAAAUAAAAUAAAAACAAGAAACCUUAUUUCCUCUCCCUUUCUCUCCCACGGUGAACUUUCAACAUAAAACACCGUUUUUUUUUCUUUCUUCUUCCCAAGAACAGAGCAUUGCUCUGUUUCUUCUUCUUUGAACCAGCCGAGCUCCCACCUCCUUUGGUUCCCACCCCAACCGAGCACACCCCUCUUCUCUUCCUCCUUCUCCUUUUAUAGCCAUGGACGGACGCCUGAUGCGGAAGGGAGAUGGCAGACGCGGUGAGGACGCGGGGAGGAGUCGAUCACAGACGCAAUCCGGGCACUGGGAGCAGGCUGGAUCGCUGAUCUCGGGCGGAAGCUUCGUGGACGGCUGCUGGCACGCGAUCUCGGCUUGCAUCCCGGCUGGAGCUGGGAGGAAUCGCGGAGAUGGCUUGGAGGAUUUGGAAGGCGAUCCGAGAUCGAUGGGAGGACGCCGUGGAGGUUGGGACUUCCUUCUUCGGGUGCUGGGAUUUCGGGAUCACGGAAGGAAGGCGUCGAUGAUUGUUGGAGCUCGGAUGCGGCGUCGGAGGCUGGGAUUCCANNNNNNNNNNNNNNNNNNNNNNNACAGAUGGAGGGAUCGGCUGGGAUUUUCCUUGCUGGGAGAGACGUGGAUCUGAGCACUGGGAGGAGCUGGAGCCUGGCACGGUGGCUGGCACGAUGCGGAUGGAAGGUGGAGACGCAUGCGGCUUGGAUCACGGGAGAGGCAUUCAUGGCUUGGAUGCGCCGUGGAAGAUGGAUACGGACGAGAGAUGGGAUGCUAAAAAUGGGCGCCAGUGGACUCUUGGGCUGCUGGGAUUUGGAUCACGGGUCACCUGUUCUGACUGGAGGUCAAUUGCAAGUUUCAAGUCAUGGGUCACCCGACCUCAUAGUUAUGAUAUGACCAAAUUAGAUUUGCCCAAAAAUUCUUUUCCAAAAGCACAAAUAAAAUGGACCCGAACCUGACUCGGACCCGACUCGAUCUUCAACCGGGUCGGAUCGAGGAAGGGAUCCUUCUUUAGUCAAAUUUGAACUCAAUGUGCAUUUUAUUUCUAAUUUAUGAAAAUAUGUGACAAACCUAAAUAUAAUAUUAAUCCAGUGAAUUUAUCAUUAUCGGUUAGCAAUAAUACUAAUUUAGGUGACAUGUAGGUCGCACUUUUGUACUCUCAUCAGAUUUCAAGAUGAUAAAUUGCUCCAUGUCACCUGUCAUGUGUCUUGAACAACCACUAUCAAGAUACCAUAUUCUAUUCUUUUCAUUAGCUGUAAGACACACCUACAAGCAAAAUCAAGGAUACAUUUUAGAUACCCAAACUAUGUUGGGUCCUUUAGGGUUAGUGUAUGUUGUUCCUUUCUGAACCCAAAUUUUUUUGAAUUUUAGCUUGCUCUUUUCACUUAAUUUAUCAUAGUUUAAUUUUUUGAAAUUGCAUUCAUAUGCUUUAUGUCCUAUUUUAUUACAGUAAUAAUAGGUAGUAUUUUCAUUCUUGGAUUUUACAAAUAUAUUCUUCAAGUAUUUUUGUUUUCUAUUUGUUUUAUAUCCUAAUCCUGCUUUAUCAUAGAUACCUCUUUGACUAUCGAGAAUCAUGUUUAGUUUAGUUGAGCUGAGUGUAAACUUUUCUACCACUGAUUUAUAUUUCUUUACAUCUUCUUUUAGUUUGAUAUUUUCAUUAAUUAGAUUUUUAGUUUCAUUAGCAAACUUCUUACUUAAUGUUUCAUAAUCAUUAGACAAUUUCAGCUUAUCUUCCAUAAGCAUCUUAUUUUUAUUUUUUAAAAUUAUAUUUUUAUGAAUAAGUUUCUUAUGCUCUUCCAUGAGAUCUAGAAAGGCAUCAUGCAAUUCAUCAGUGGUAAAAUCACAAUCAAGUUCAGUAUCUACCUCAUCAUCAUUGGCCAUGUAGCAUAUUUGAGCUGUGCCUUGCUGAUCUCCCUCAUCAGAGCUUGAUUCCUCGCUCUCACUCCAUUCAGCCAUGAGGACUUUCUUCUUGAGCUUCUUUGCCAACCAUUUUAAUUUCGGGCAAUCUAUUUUGAAAUGCCCGGGCUUAUUACACUCAUAACAUAUGGGCGCUUCUCUUUCUUUUUCUUUAUCAUUUUCUUUUCUUUUGCUAGNNNNNNNNNNNNNNNNNNNNGGGCUUAUUACACUCAUAACAUAUGGGCGCUUCUCUUUCUUUUUCUUUAUCAUUUUCUUUUUCUUUGCUAGAGCUGCCUUUGAGGAUAGGUUUCUUUUUGUGGAACUCCUUUUUCUUCAUAAAUUUUCUGAAUCUUUUUGUGAGCAUUGCCACUUCCUCUUCAUCGUAUUCCUCUUCCUCAUCCGAAUCAUCUGAUUCACUUACUUUUUUUGUAGACUUCAAGGUAAUAGUCUUCUUUCUCUUGACCUCUUCUUCUGAAUUUUGCAUCAUGGUCAACUCAUGUGUCAUGAGUGAUCCUAGAAGCUCUUCUAGCUGCAGCGUAUUGAGAUCCUUUGUCUCCUGAAUUGCUGUUACCUUGGCCUCCCACACUCUUGGUAGAGACCUGAGAAUUCUUCGCACCAAUUUAGAGUUAGUAUAUGAUUUGCCUAAACUUUUAAGUCUAUUUAUAAGGUCGGUGAAUCUAGUGAAUAUUUCAGUUAUGGACUCAGUAGGUUCAAUUUUAAAUAGUUCAUAUUUAUGUAUUAACAUAUUUAUUUUAGACUUCUUUACUUGAUUUGUGCCCUCAUGUAUGACUUCUAACCUAUCCCAAUCUCUUUGGCUGAGGUACAUGUUGAGAUCCUAUUGAACUCAUUUACAUCUAGGGAACAAUAAAGAACAUUUAUGGCUUUAGCAUUUAGCUGAGCCAACCUCUUAUCACUAUCAUCCCAAUCCUUUUCAGGUUUAGGAAUGAUUGUGUAAUCUAUGCUAAUGGAGGGUAUGUGUGGUCCUCUAGUUAUGAUGUUCCAUAAAUCAUAAUCUAGAGCUUGAAUGAAUAUCCUUAUCCGAGCUUUCCAGUAUGUAUAAUUUGUGCCAUUAAACAAGGAAGGUUUAUUUGUUGAUUGUCCCUCACUUAUAGAACUUCCUACUUGGGCUACUAUGAUUUUUUUCUCUUUGAUCGUUAGAUUAACAACUAAUACUAAAGAACUAGAUUCUGAUACCACUUGUUGCCUAAACAUGACAACCCAAGAGGGGGGGAGGGGUGAAUUGGGUUUUUCAAAUUUUAACUCUUAAUGGUGCAGCAGAAUAGAAUUAAUCCUAAGUACUUGCACAAAUAUAAAACUAAAAGAUAGAGAUAAUAGUCACACACACAAAGACACAAGAUUUUAUAGUGGUUCGGUGCACUCCAAAGCACCUACUUCCACUCCCCAAGACUCUCCUUGGGAAUUCACUAUAAUCUUCCUGAUUACAGUUGGAUUGUUUUUCCAGGCUCACAAUCCAAAUCUUACAAUUGGUUUUUCGGGAUCACCAAUUAACCUUUCCGUUGGUUUUGCGGGCUCACCAACAAACCUAAUUGUUGGUUUUUGCGGAACUACCAACGAACCUAACCAAAAGUAAAAGAAUUAAAAUGUAUACAAAACAACUAUUGCUCAGUUUGAAAUAAAAGCAAACUCAGUAGGUUGAGCAAUGGUUGAUGGCACUUUAGAUUUUUGUUGAUGAGAGAAUUGCACCGAGUUGAGCCGGAGAUUGACUGUUGAUGGAUCUCUUCUUGAAUGCUUUUCUUAUUUGCUCAGCUCCUUGCUCUAAUUCAAUAGCUCACAAAAAAACGAAAAAUCUAUUUGGCUCAAGCUCUUGAUUGUAUUCCUUGAACUCUCUUUUUCACUUCUUUUUCUUUCUUAUUUUUUUAUUUUUUGAAUCCUUUGUUUUUAUAAUCUUUGAGUAGGAGGGAAUGCAUUACUAUCCGUUAGACACAAAAAUAUAGCCGUUACCAACCUUUUUCCUCUGUACUGUUCUUUUGAAAAUGUAGCCGUUAGAGCUUCCAGUCGAUUUGGAGUCGACUCGUGUAAACUUCGAGUCGGCUCGUAUGGACCUGGAGUCGACUCAAACUUCUAAGUUGUCGACUCGAGUUUGGGUCCUUUAUAACUGAUCUUCUGUUGUUCAUCAGUGGAGUCGACUCGGAAUUUUCUGGAGUCGACUCGGGAUUUUCUAGAGUCGACUCGCCUAACUGUUCAUCUGAGCUUCUUUAUUUGAGUGAGUCGGCUCGAUGAUUUCUGGAGUCNNNNNNNNNNNNNNNNNNNNNNNNNNAUCUAUUAUUCUCUCAGGGAGUCGACUCAAUGCAUCAUGGAGUCGAUUCGGCCACUGUUCAUCCGAAAAACAAGUUUCUGUCUUUUUCUCAGGGAGUCGAUUCGUUGUCUCCUGGAGUCGACUCGCCCACUGUUCAUCCGAAAAACAAGUUUCUGUCUUUUUCUCAGAGAGUCGACUCGAUGUCUCCUAGAGUUGACUCGGCCACUGUUCAUCCCAAAAACCAAGUUUCUAUCUUUCUCUGAGAGUGUCUCAGAGAGUCGACUCGAGUUUCUUAUGAGUCGACUCGGCCACUAUUUUUGACUUUUGUCUUUUAGCUCACUGUGAAGGGAGUCGUCUCUUGAUCUUUUGGAGUCGACUCGCACUUUGAUAGAGUCGACUUGAGCUCAACCAUGAGUCAGCUCCUUAGCGUGCUAGAAGUGUGUCGACAAUUCUGUUUGUGCCAGAGUCGACUCGAACCCUUCUUGAGUCGACUCGAGGAUUGUUCCUUUGCCAUUUACUGAUCCAAAGUCUUUUCAAAUUUGUUCUUACUAAUUUAUCUUGAAUUAUUUCGACAUUUUUUUGAAACACUGAACAUAAACUUAUUAGUACAAUAACAUGUCCUUAAUGGCUUUGUAAACAUCAAAAUCUCACAAAGAUCAUCAAUGAUGAAUCAAGAAGAAGAGAAUAGCAACGAAAAGAAAAAAAUGUUAGUAUUCAAGUCCUCAAAUCAAAAAGAUUGCACAAAAAUUGAAGAAUCUGGUGAUAAAGAUGAAGACCUAUCAUUAAUCAUUAGAAAAUUUAGAAGCUUCCUAAAGAUGAAGAAGAAGAAGAAGCAAGAAAGAGAAAAAAAGUUUCGGCUAAGGGAGAGAGAAGUAAGAAAAGAAGUAGACAAUUUAGAGUGACAAUGAAGAUUUCAACUCGAAAUUUACUCAGCCUGAGUCUUUGGGCAAUUACAUGUCACCAUCUUAGCCGAUCUUCGGCUAUCCUCUAUUAGUGGUUUCCACUUCUACUUUAUUGUAUAAAAGGUAAUCCUCUUAACCUACUUCUCAUUACUGAGACUAGUGUCUCAUUCAUAUCUGGUAUUUGGCAAUACCAUGGGGGAAUCAUCUAAACUGGUUAAUGUUAUUUUUCUUGUAUGCACUAAACAUAUUAAAUUUGACUUGGAUAUUUCAAUUUCCAGUUCUAUGGAUCAAGCCAUAAUUUAUCCAAGACCCUACUUAAUAAGGGAUAACAAAAGUAAUGAGCUUGUCUUUAUGGAGAUUAAUUUAAAUAAAAAUUCAGCAAAUUUAAAAAUUAAAAAAAAAAAAAUUGCCAAACUAACUUUAUUGCCAUUAAUUAGUAUAUUUGAAAUAUGUGUAAUAUUCCUCUUUGCAUUUUUUCCCCUUUUAGAUGGGUUCUGUUAUGUGACUACCAUUUUAUGUGUACCUGCCAAGUACCAAUUCCACCCCAGAAAACACACACACACACACACACACAACAGUUAGCUUACCUCAUUCUCCAGCUAUAGAUUCCAUGAACCCCAGCAGAAUGACAUUGAGACCAAGCCAGGUUUACAAAUGUAAUGCCACGUGGCUUAGUUACGAAGGCCUUAUCCCAUAUUAGUGUGGAGCCACCCCACCUGCCCAAAAUCCAAAGCAGAAAACCAAAACCAUAGGGGGAACUCGAGGCUUACCAUUCAAAAUGUCCCUCCUCCAAUCCCUUCAAUGCUGCUCUAUUUCAACUCAAGCCUUCACCAAGGCCACCCAACCCAUUAAAGGCCCAGAGCAGCAGCGGCGGCGGCACCACCACCGCCACCACCGCACCCAAAUCAGACCCAUCGGAUCAGUCCCCACUGCCUACCAACCGCUCGACCAAAUUCCCCUCCGGGAUACCUUUGCUUGGAACUCCCUCCUCCGGGCCCACCUCGUCGACGGCAACUGCUGGCAAACCAUCCUUGUCUACCGCCACAUGCUCCUUUGCGGUGUCCGCCCGGACCGCCACACCCUUCCCGCCGUCCUCCGUGCUUCUGGUCUCUCCGAUGCCUCCUCCAAUGGAAAACAAGUCCAUGCACACGCUCUUAAGCUUGGGUUCGCCUCAGAUUCCUAUGUCGUCACUGCACUUAUGGAAUUCUAUGGCCAAUUUGAAGGAGCUGACAUUGCUGGCGUGGUUUUUAAUUGCUCGAACCAGAAGAACUCCGUCUCCUGGACGCUGCUAGCCAAACUAUACUUAAUGGAGGACAAACCUAGUUUUGCAUUGCAGUUGUUCCACCGAAUGGUGAAUUCAAACAUGGAAUUGGAUGUGGUGGCAUUGGCUACAGCGGCGAGAGCAUGCGGACAAUUGAGGUCAGUCCAUGAAGGGAAGAAGCUUCUCAAGAUUGCAGGAAGGACUGGAUUGGAGUCUGAUGUUUUAGUGGGCAAUUCACUUUUGAAAAUGUAUUUGGAUUGUGAAAGGAUUGAAGAGGCUCGUGCUCUUUUCGACCAGAUGCCAUCAAAAGAUGCGGUGGCCUGGACUACAAUAAUCAGUGGUUAUGUGAAUAAUGGAGUUUUUAAUGAAGGACUGAAGUUGUUUCGAGCUAUGUGUAUAGAAGGAGUGGCACCUGUUUCAUUCACAGUCUCUGCGAUCCUCCCAGCUUGUGCCAGGGUAGCUGCUUACAAACAUGGUAAGGAGAUUCAUGGAUGCAUAAUUCGACGUCAAAUACAUAUGAAUCCCACAGUUUCUAAUGCUCUUAUGGACAUGUAUGUGAAGUCAGGAAGCAUCGAGGCAGCUUCAAAGAUUUUUAAUAGAAUAUUAGAGAAGGAUGUUAUAUCCUGGACUGUGAUGAUAUUGGGAUAUAGCUUACAUGGGCGAGGUGAUCGUGGAAUUUCUCUAUUUCAUCAAAUGGAGGAGAGUUCCACCGUAUUACCUGAUAGGACCACUUUUGCUGCAGCUCUCCAUGCUUGUAGCACUGCUUGCAUGGUUGAGGAGGGCAGGCAUUUCUUCGAAUUUAUACAAGAACCAGAACUUGAGCAUUUUGCUCUAAUGGUUAGUCUUCUAUCUCGUGCCGGGCUAUUUGAUGAAGUGCGGGCAUUUGUGGAGGACCACCGGAUAGGGCACCAUGCUAUGGUGCAGAGAGCAAUGCUAGGAGGCUGCCGAGUGCACCGAAAUAUGAAGACGGGGAAGCGAAUUGCUGAGCAAUUGAUUGAGCUAGAGCCACUGAAUGCUGAAAACUAUGUACUGAUGUUAAAUAUGUACGCAGCCAGCCGAAAGUGGGAUGUGGUAGAAGGGUUGAGGGAGACCAUUCGAGACAUGGGUUUGAAGCCAAAGAAGGCGUGUAGCUGGAUUGAGGUUCGGAGGAAAGUUCAUGUCUUUGGAGUGGGAGAUGUUUCGCACCCGAGGUCGCAAAGGAUAUACUGGGAGCUAGAGUGCUUGAUGAAGAGGAUGAAAGCAGAGGGGCAUGUCUUAGAGAAGGAUUUCGGUCUGCAUGAUGUGGAUGAAGAGAGGGAAUGCAUUCCUUGUGGCCAUAGCGAGAUGCUGGCUGUUGCUUUUGGGCUGAUCAGCACGCAAGGGAGCACGACCUUGCGCGUGGCCAAGAACCUCAGUGUAUGCAGAAGUUGCCAUGCUUCAUUGAAGAUGAUCUCCAGAAUUGUUGGGAAGGAGAUUGUGUUGAAGGAUCCUCAGAUCUUCCACCAUUUUAAGGAUGGGCUUUGUUCAUGUAGAGAUAUGUGGUGAUUGGGUGGAACAAGCUCAUUAUGGCCAAUGACCAGCAGGCCAGCACCUUAGAAGAAUGGGGAUGCUGCUAUGGAGAAAGUGAAGGAUAUCUAGAGUUGGAAGAAUCAAGCUUGAAUAAGUGAACUAUCUCCUUCGGGAACGGAUUAACUAUGGGUCAAGGGGUCAAGGUGAUAGAAAGGUUUGAUUUAAUAAAUAAACAUCACCCCAAACAGUUUAUCCGCCAUCAAGAGGUAAGGUUUUGAAACAGCAAGGUUAGGGGCAGUGCUGAUGUAGAACAUUGCAGCAAAAACUGGAAGCAGCGAGUGAUGCAGAGCCUUGGAAGGGGAAAAAAUGUAAAGCCCAGUUCCCCGAGUGCAUCAAGUGAUUAUAAAGUAACAAAUGCAAACUCUUCCAACUAAACAGUUUUGUGUUAAGAAAACCAAGGUUGGUUGGCACUGUAUGCACUACAAAGAUGUCAGAGGACAUUAUCCAUCUUACUAAUCAAUAUGAUCACUUUUGAUUUGCAAAGGAUGUUUCACUUCUUUGGACAGAGCAACUUUUUUUUCCCCUCAUGCAAGUGUUGGCGACCAAAUGUGUGGUUAACCCUCUGAGCACCAAGAAACUAUAGUAGCAGGAUAUGCUAGGCACAAUUCUUAAGCAAAGCAAGUUGAACUGAUUCAAUAAGAUCGAAACCAAUCACAAAAUUAAUUAUAGCAGCCGUAGAAGCUUUUUAGUAAAAACUUGAGAAAGUGGUCAGAUCAUAAUAAAUCAUAGGACGGAGUUUGCAUUUGCUGUUCAUGCACGCAAUGCAGAAGUUUAGCUAUUACAAUUGAGAAAAAUAAUCGGCGGAACAAGAAGGUAGCCAGAAUGGAAAGAUUGGUGGGAGCAUACUUAAGCAACAUAGCUAUGUCUUUCAAACUACUAGGAUUGAAUCAUUCACUCUUGUAGCCAUCUCUGGAGAAAGAGAACCAUCAAUGGGGUAAUGACUCGGACUUCAUGCCAUGUCAGAGCCUAUCAAGGAGAUGAAACCAACAGAAUAUAAAGCCAACAGAAGAUGAGAUGUCCAGAACUAUUCUAAUAAGUUGGUCAUUCUUGACAAUGGGAUACAUCAUCCAAUAAAAGCCACCUGUUGCUGGAGACAGCAGACAAACUAGAUGUUGAGUAAAUAACACAGCAUGACUCCAACUAGAUAGGGUAAAAAAUAAAACAUACAUUUGAUGCUAGUUAACAUAUAUUUGGUUUUUGUCAAAAAAGAAAAGAAGAAGAAGAAGAAGAAAAAAAAAGACAACCACGCUAAUAAAUAGCCCGAGGAUCCUUUGACCAACCUCAAACAACACCUGCUGUGCAACACAAAUUCAGUCUAGAAGUUAAUGGGAAAGCAUGAAAUGAGAAAAGAAUGAGGCUGAAUAUAAAAUCAGAGGCAGAGAAUCGCGAAAUCUGGUUUAUGCUCAAAUCCUUGGAUGUGUACUUUCUGAAAAUAACCAAUCCAAAAUUUCAAGUCCAAUAUAAUCCUCUCCUAUGUCUCCCGCCUGGAUCGCUGACGCAGUGCUGCUGCAUUCUCUUUCUCAUUUUCCUCUUUCUUUUCAGUAGUGCUUCCUACUCCGCCAUUCUUAGUGGCUUUAGCCCUCUUGGCUCUAGAGGUGGUCUUUGGUGGUGCCUGCCAAAAAAGUUUUCUGUAAGCAAAACUUUUUACAAUUUAGCAAAUAAACAAUAAAAAGAAUAGAGGAACAAAAAAGAAAGGUCAAAACCCACUGCAGGUUUCUUUCUGCCAAAAAGAAUUCUGAAGAUAACUGUAGCGAGGACCACAACAAUAGCCACCAUGAUUCCAAUCGUCAGGUUUGGCUGUUUUUCUCCUUUCUCAAUGACACCCUGCAAAACAAAUCAUUUGGACCUGAAUAUGAUUCCAUGCUUAAACUCUACGAAGGCGUACAAAACAUAAUAAGAUUUGGAAGAGGGGAAAAACAAACAAAAAUACAUUUAUAUGCUAUGCAAUCAGAAUUAUGUUUUCAAGGCCAUGAAGCUGCAAAUAAAGCUUGAAGCCUUGAAAUGAUAAAGCACUAUAGUAUUUAUCAAAAGAUGUGCUCCCCUUUGAACCCUCUCUAUCUAAUGGAUUAGAGAGAUGCAAGCAAAGUGUUGAAUGAUACUAUCAAACAAUUUGUUCAGCUGCUCCUGUCAGAUGUCCAUUGACAGGUGCAAUUUACGACUGUGAUAAUGAGGAAUCAACUAAUAGAGAUAUCCGCUUAUUCUGAUGACAUAGUAAGAACUGAAUGGAUUAUAUAGCACUAUUAACUAUUGACUAUCAAGUAAAUGAUAAUCAGCUUAAAAAAAGGUCAAGUUCUACUAAAUGAAUGAUAGUUUGUUUCAAAAAAUUAUAUAGCUUCCAACAAAUCCAGAGUUUCUAAAUUUUGUUGAAAUUUUUAUUUAGUAUAUAUACAUAGAAGCAAUUUGCUUUUACAGUUGGAGAAAUCCCUUAAAAUGUUUAUUCUAGGAUCCACAUUAAUAGAUUGACGAAAAUGUUAUAUCAGUAACUGCAGUAAGCAACACAAUAAUGGCAUGGGCCACUUACGAUGAUCUUGGACCUGUAUGGCGCAAAGACGGGAAUGUCUGCUACUUUGUAAAGAACAUCAAAUACUUUCUUCUGCAAUUGCCCAAUAAUCAUAUUAAAAAUUGAUUAGGCAGAAAUGCCAUGAGAUAACUACAUCUGAAAAACAAACAAUUUUAAGAGACAUUACUAGUACCUGGAAGCUAGCAAGCGCAUCUGAAAAUCCAGAAACUGCUUCUUCAGCCUUCUGCUUUGAUUGCUCAGCUUCAUAUUUAGGCUUCCACAUCUUUUCCCUAUAUGAUUCAGCCACUUUCUCGUCAACAGCUAUCAAAAUAUUGUCAAACAGAAUGCCAUCCUGCAUUGUCCAAAUCUCAAUCCCAAUGGAAGCAAUAGGCUCAAAAUCAGGUUUGUCAAGCUCAAAAUAGUCAGGAUUUGGUAUCUGCCGUGGUUUCCAGAUACCCUUGUAGUUUGGGUUGUCAAUCAAAGGAGCAUGCCACUUUCCCUUGUAUGCUGGAUUUUUCUUCAUUGGUCUCUUCCACUCACAGCAUCCAGGUGCUUCCUCGCACUUUGGGUUAUCAAUUUUUGGUGCUUCCCAUUCUCCAUCUUCUUCAUCAUCCCAGUCCGCUGGUUUGGUGGCGUCAGGAUCAUCAAUUUCCUCAGGCUCAUCAUCCAACCACCCUUCCGGCUUGACAGCUUCCUCAUCUUCGAUCUCCUCAGGAGCAUUCUCAUCCCAAUCAUCAGGUUUCACAGCAUCAGGAUCUGGAAUUUUAGCCCUCUCAUCCCAGUCCUCAGGCUUCUUAUCAUCUGGAUCAGGAAUCGUUUUGGGUGGAAUAAGCGGUGGUUCAAAAUCAUCAGCAGAUAAAAAGUUUGCCUUCUUCUUUCCCUCCCCAUCUAUCAAAAUCGUUAACUCAUUAUCAGGUUUCAGACUAGCAGUGUAAACAUGAGUGAAUUUGUCAUAUGGGACUGAUGGUGGGUUCUUUAGAUGAUGCUCGACAAAGACACCAGUUUUUGGACUCUUGUGCUUAAGGAUGAAGUGCACCUUAUUUGUAGAGCCACACUUGUCAGGUCCAAACAUGAUGGAAUAGGGUGACUCAUUGUCAAACUCCCUGGGAGUCCAUCCGGCAUCUUGAGGUCUGAGAUACUUCAGAUAAGCACCUCCACACUCAAGCCCAUUCUGAAAUCGAGUUUCAUAUUGAAAAACCAGGGUUCUAUCCUUGAUGUUAACUGGUUCAUCAAGGUCUUUGACUAUUGCAUACUUCUUCGCCUUUUCGCUUACAAGAAGGCCAUAGUCUUCAUGUCCAUCACUCUGGGAAUGUUUCCAUAUACCUGUGCCCAACAGGCAAAAACAAGGCCUCUUUUAGAAGGAUGUAGCCAAAGGGAAAAAAUAAUUAGAAAACUUGUAGAAGUCAGCAAGCACAUUCUGCAAUUGAUAACUGUACUUGGCAACCGAUGUCCUUAGGAUAGCAGCAGAGAUGUUAAAAUUCGAAAACCUAAAGGCAUGGCCAUGUUAAACAUGCAAAGAUUAAACAAGCCAUAAUCAGUCACUACUCGAACUAGAUAUGUUACUGUAAUAAAAAGGAGGGCGCCCUCAGUGGGCGUUCCUCCCAUAGCCUGACAGUAAUACUUGGCUUUAAGCCAGGCAUUACAUGCUGUUUUGCCCGAGGCAAAACGGCUAUAAAUGGCCAUUGAUGGCUAGAUCAGUUAUGGUUUUGAGGGCCCUUAUAUAAAGCCCCCCCACCUCCCUAGUUGAAAGUGCAUGAAAAAAUUUCUCUUCUUGCAUUUUCUUGUUUUCUCUCUUGAUUGGGGCAUUCAGGCCGUGGAAAUAAUGGAUGUUGCUCUCGUAAUGCAUUUCUUCACUGAGUAGAAACUCUGGCGUCUCAAGCUUUAGAGGUUCAAACUUUGGGACACGUGAAACAACCUCUGAAGGAUCAAAUUUUUGGGAUUGCUAGGUAUACAGAAAUUGUACAAUACUAGAGAUGGUUAGGUCAAUAAUGGCACAAGUAAACCUACCGAUAUGUUAUUGGGGGGACCAACAAGGAACCUAAUUUAAAUAACUUGUGGCCAUGGGGUUCAACGAGUUUUGUUCAUGAUACUUCUCACAAGCAUGAAAAGUUGAGCCCUAGAAGAAGAAAAUGUAUCAUUAUAAGAUACCCAAAGCAUUCCAAGGGCUAUGUUUUAAUAGGUGAACAAUCUGAUGGAAGUGUGACUGAAAUUGAAUCACGAGAUAUGGAUUUUAAAGAAGAUGAAUUCCCAAGUAGAAGAGAGGUUGAUAGAAACUUAGAAUUAUAUGAAGUUAUAGAUCAAAAGAAAGAU
rnacentral:lncRNA from 1 species